rnacentral:misc_RNA from 1 species
AACGCACGAGACCUGCGGACCUGCGGAAGGAUCAUUACUGAGUGAGGGCCCUCUGGGUCCAACCUCCCACCCGUGUUUAUUGUACCUUGUUGCUUCGGCAGGCCCGCCUCACGGCCGCCGGGGGGCUUUCCGCCCCCGGGCCCGCGCCUGCCGGAGACAAUCUUGAACGCUGUCUGAAGAAUGCAGUCUGAGCGAUUAAGCAAAAUUAGUUAAAACUUUUAACAACGGAUCUCUAGAUCG